UACGGGGGGGGCAAGCGUUGUUCGGAAUUACUGGGCGUAAAGCGCACGUAGGCGGCUUGAUAAGUAAGAGGUGAAAGCCUGGAGCUCAACUCCAGAACUGCCUUUAGACUGUCUCGCUUGAAUCCAGGAGAGGUGAGUGGAAUUCCGAGUGUAGAGGUGAAAUUCGUAGAUAUUCGGAAGAACACCAGUGGCGAAGGCGGCUCACUGGACUGGUAUUGACGCUGAGGUGCGAAAGCGUGGG
rnacentral:rRNA from 1 species